GUUGUAUAGUUAAGUGACUAAGCGUACACGGUGGAUGCCUAGGCAAUCAGAGGCGAAGAAGGACGUGCUAAUCUGCGAAAAGCUUGGAUGAGUUGAUAAGAAGCGUUUAAUCCAAGAUAUCCGAAUGGGGAAACCCGAUGGAUGAAGAAUCCAUCAUUUCAUUAUGAAUCCAUAGUAAUGAAAGGCAAACCGGGAGAACUGAAACAUCUAAGUACCCCGAGGAAAAGAAAUCAACCGAGAUUUUGUAAGUAGCGGCGAGCGAAAGCGAAAGAGCCAGUGAGUGAUAACAGCAAAGACAGAAGAAUUGGCUGGGAAGCCAAGCGACACAGGGUGAUAGCCCCGUAUUCGAAGUUUUUGUUGUGGUACUAAGCUUGCAACAAGUAGGGCGGGACACGAGAAAUCCUGUUUGAAGAUGGGGGGACCAUCCUCCAAGGCUAAAUACUCCUGAUUGACCGAUAGUGAACCAGUACUGUGAAGGAAAGGCGAAAAGAACCCCAGUGAGGGGAGUGAAAUAGAACCUGAAACCGUGUACGUACAAGCAGUGGGAGCCCUUUGGGGUGACUGCGUACCUUUUGUAUAAUGGGUCAGCGACUUAUAUUUUGUAGCGAGGUUAACUGAAUAAGGGAGCCGAAGGGAAACCGAGUCUUAACUGGGCGGAUAGUUGCAAGGUAUAGACCCGAAACCCGGUGAUCUAGCCAUGGGCAGGUUGAAGGUUGGGUAACACUAACUGGAGGACCGAACCGACUAAUGUUGAAAAAUUAGCGGAUGACUUGUGGCUGGGGGUGAAAGGCCAAUCAAACCGGGAGAUAGCUGGUUCUCCCCGAAAUCUAUUUAGGUAGAGCCUUAUGUGAAUACCUUCGGGGGUAGAGCACUGUUUCGGCUAGGG
rnacentral:rRNA from 1 species